ensembl:snRNA U6 U6 spliceosomal RNA
AUGUUUGCUUUAGCAACACACACACUGAAAUUGGGAUGCAAAGAUUAAUACUGCCCUUGAAUAAGGCUUACAUGCAGAUUUGAAAAGUGUCCCAUAUUUAA